AAUAAAAGUCUUGUGCUGAAACA
rnacentral:siRNA from 1 species